CUUGACCAGAGGGCUGAAGAAUGUGCUCAUGCAGCCGGGUGAUAGAGAGAUCUCACCAUGCAUUUGGACACCUCCCUGCCACCCCAUCUCCCAGAGAAGGCUGCAGUGCCUGUGCUGGAGCAGAAUCCUGCCUUUCACAGAGCUGCAUCUAUGUGAUUUGUGUGGCAUUUGCAGGCAGCACUAGUGCCCACUUACCCUUAACCAGUUACCUACCCCAAAUUCUCCCCUCCAUGCACCCUAUGAAGAAUGAGAGCCACUAUUUUUAGUUUAAAUCACUCCAUCUCCCACACGAGGAUUAUCAGAGCUGGGCUGAUGGCAGCAACCAGCACCAGGCUGUUGCACUUGGGACAGUGCUCCAGUUCAAUAUCACCAGGAAUUGCAGGGAACAGAGUCAAUAUUUACCCGGUCAGAAAAGGAGCUGGAGAAGACUUGACAAUGUUUUUCACGAGUGCAGUAUUCAGGCUGGGAACACAGUACCGAAGUCCUACUGCAGUAUUCCAUCAACAUAAGCCACCUUUAAAUUUGAAAGAAAGUAAGAAUGCUCCUGGUUUGCACUAAUCCCAAUGCAUGUACAUUCAUACAUGCGAAAGAACUUGGCACGAACUGCUAAAACCAAACUGAUGUUGUAGGGUUUAAUUUCUUCCAUCUACAAGAAUCUACAAUUAUAAAAGUCUCAUCUUCAAACUUUACAGUACAUUUACAUUAGCAAAUAUCCCACAGCUUUCCUCACUCCUCCGCUUCUGUACAAAUCAUAUACAAUAAAAAGUUUUGGGUUUUCGUUGUACAAACAUCAUUUUACACUUUAAUACAGGUGAAAAUAUUGUCCUCUGGCACCUCAUUUCCUCCGUGGUGCCUGUGUAUGACAGAGCACUUUCCAUCCACGCUUCCGAAAUCUUCAGCUCAAGUAACAAAGACUGGUGAACAGGGCACAGCUUCUGCAACUCCAAAGUUUUAAAUAAUGAGAAAAAUCUCCCACUUGUUUGUAUAACAAUCAACAGUUUAUUAAUGGAUAUGGUGAAAUUUUAGCUAUCCACCAAAGAUGUGUAAAAAAUUGUCAUGAAAGUAAAAAUAAAUAAAGCUGUUUUUAAAUCAGUCUUGUUUUACACUUCAGUUCAGAAUGCAACAUUGAACACAAAACUGUCAUUGAAGUUUUAAAGAAGUCUACCAAUACCCAAAUUACAGCUUUUAUGACAAAUCUAAUGAGAACUGAAACUGAUUUGGUUUUAGGUUUAAAGACUUUCACAUUCAAAUACAGUGUCUCGUUUAGCACAACACUUCCUUUGACAGUGAUGGGCAACAGUGAUGACAUAUUGCUGUAUUUUGACAUAAGGCACUAUGAUAUGAAUAUGCCAUACACUUGCCUUAUGUCACAUAUAUCCAUUGCUGACCAGUGACUUCUGUCAAAUACAAAAUGAAAAAGUUUCAGAAUACAGUGCAUUUUAAUGAAGGACAUCAUGUGAAGUCUUCCAGCAAAUGUUUUGAAGACAUUUUGAAAUAUGAGCCUACAUUUUAACAUAAGCUU